UGGAGAGUUUGAUCCUGGCUCAGGACGAACGCUGGCGGCGUGCUUAACACAUGCAAGUCGAACGAUGAAGGACCAGCUUGCUGGUUUGGAUUAGUGGCGAACGGGUGAGUAACACGUGAGU
rnacentral:rRNA from 1 species